rnacentral:lncRNA from 1 species
UAUUGUCAUUUUUCUUUCAGUCUUGACAUCUCCAUCAGCCCGACUAAAGACCAUCCUCAGAGAGUUCAUCCAAAAAUCUGGCAGCAGCCCAUCUAAGACCUUAUUUGAGUGAUGUUUACUUUGCACUUCAGGUGGCUCAAUUGGCUUUUAAUCAGAUUUCGGGUGCGCUCGGAUCUGGGCCAUUGUGAGUCCAACCUUUGAAGAUUGCUGGUUACAUCUUCUCUUUGCGCGCAUUUGAGCAGGCUAGAUGACUCAAUGGUGUUCUAUUAUGUUUGGCGAACAUGUGUUUCAACUCCACGAGCGCAUUCAACUUUAGCUUGGAGAGAAGUGAAUUUGUCGAUGCAUAGCCGACCUCAAUGCCAGAUGACUCAAUUCUUUGACAGGUCUUGGGUGCGCUCAGGCCUGGGAUUGUUCGAGUCUAGUUUGAGUGGGGUUGUUGUUAUGUUUGGCAUCUCACGAAGUUGGGAGAAUUCUGCACAGCGGCUCGAGAAGAUUGAGUCUUUUCUUCUUGAUGCUUAAGCCAAGGAGAAUGAAGCCAUCGUCCGAAUUGCUUUGAUCAAGGAAGUGCUUGCUAUGAUAGAGAGGUGGAAGACAGAGAUGACGUUGUCCUUCAAGCAAGAUAGUGCCUCCUUCCAUAUUGUCCGAGGUGCAAUCCC